rnacentral:rRNA from 1 species
GACAGAGGAGGCGAGCGUUAUCCGGAGUCAUUGGGCGUAAAGGGUACGUAGGCGGCUAGUCAAGUCUGAGGUUAAAGACCACAGCUUAACUGUAAAAAGGCCUUGGAAACUGACUGGCUAGAGUGGGGCAGGGGUUGCGGGAAUUCCCGGUGUAGCGGUGAAAUGCGUAGAUAUCGGGAAGAACACCUGAGGCGAAAGCGCGCAACUGGGCCCUGACUGACGCUGAGGUACGAAAGCUAGGGGAGCGAAUGGG